rnacentral:rRNA from 1 species
CCUACGGGUGACAGCAGUGAGGAAUAUUGGUCAAUGGGCGGAAGCCUGAACCAGCCAAGUAGCGUGCAGGAUGACGGCCCUACGGGUUGUAAACUGCUUUUAUCCGGGAAUAACGCGCCUUACGUGUAGGUCUUUGCAUGUACCUUAUGAAUACGGACCGGCUAAUUCCGUGCCAGCAGCCGAGGUAAUACGGAAGGUCCGGGCGUUAUCCGGAUUUAUUGGGUUUAAAGGGAGCGUAGGCCGCAUGUUAAGCGUGCUGUGAAAUGUCCGGGCUCAACCCGGGCAUUGCAGUGCAAACUGGCGUGCUUGAGUCCGCGUAAGGCAGGCGGAAUUCGGCGUGUAGCGGUGAAAUGCUUAGAUAUGACGAAGAACCCCGAUUGCGAAGGCAGCUUGCUGCAGCGGAACUGACGCUGAUGCUCGAAAGCGCGGGUAUCGAACAGGAUUAGAUACCCGGGUAGUC